AUUGGGCGUAAGCGCGCGCAGGCGGUCCUUUAAGUCUGAUGUGAAAGCCCACGGCUCAUCCGUGGAGGGUCAUUGGAAACUGGGGGACUUGAGUGCACAAGAGGAAAGCGGAAUUCCACGUGUAGCGGUGAAAUGCGUAGAGAUGUGGAGGAACACCAGUGGCGAAGGCGGCUUUCUGGUCUGUAACUGACGCUGAGGCGCGAAAGCGUGGGGAGCAAACAGGAUUAGAUACCCUGGUAGUCCACGCCGUAAACGAUGAGUGCUAAGUGUUAGAGGGUUUCCGCCCUUUAGUGCUGCAGCUAACGCAUUAAGCACUCCGCCUGGGGAGUACGGCCGCAAGGCUGAAACUCAAAGGAAUUGACGGGGGCCCGCACACGCGGUGGAGCAUGUGGUUUAAUU
rnacentral:rRNA from 2 species